rnacentral:rRNA from 1 species
CCUACGGGUGGCAGCAGUGAGGAAUAUUGGUCAAUGGGAGAGAUCCUGAACCUGCCAAGCCGCGUGAGGGAAGACGGCCCUAUGGGUUGUAAACCUCUUUUGUCGGAGAACAAAACCCGGGACGUUUCCCGGACUGCGUGUAUCCGAUGAAAAAGCAUCGGCUAACUCCGUGCCAGCAGCCGCGGUAAUACGGAGGAUGCGAGCGUUAUCCGGAUUUAUUGGGUUGAAAGGGUGCGUAGGCGGUCCGUUAAGUCAGCGGUAAAAUUGCGGGGCUCAACCCCGUCGAGCCGUUGAAACUGGCAGACUUGGGUUGGCGAGAAGUGCGCGGAAGGCGCGGUGGAGCGGGGGAAAGCAUAGA